GAAAUCCCCGGGCUCAACCUGGGAACUGCAUUCGAAACUGGCAGGCUUGAGUCUUGUAGAGGGGGGUAGAAUUCCAGGUGUAGCGGUGAAAUGCGUAGAGAUCUGGAGGAAUACCGGUGGCGAAGGCGGCCCCCUGGACAAAGACUGACGCUCAGGUGCGAAAGCGUGGGGAGCAAACAGGAUUAGAUACCCUGGUAGUCCACGCCGUAAACGAUGUCUACUUGGAGGUUGUGCCCUUGAGGCGUGGCUUCCGGAGCUAACGCGUUAAGUAGACCGCCUGGGGAGUACGGCCGCAAGGUUAAAACUCAAAUGAAUUGACGGGGGCCCGCACAAGCGGUGGAGCAUGUGGUUUAAUUCGAUGCAACGCGAAGAACCUUAC
rnacentral:rRNA from 1 species